rnacentral:rRNA from 1 species
AUACGGAGGAUGCAAGCGUUAUCCGGAUUUAUUGGGUUUAAAGGGUGCGUAGGCGGUUUGCUAAGCGGGAGGUGAAAUGCCGGCGCUCAACGUCGGAAGUGCCUCCCGAACUGGGGGACUUGAAUGACCCUGCCGUGGGAGGAAUGUGUAGUGUAGCGGUGAAAUGCUUAGAGAUUACACAGAACACCGAUUGCGAAGGCAUCUCACGAAGGGUUGAUUGACACUGAGGUACGAAAGUGUGGGGAGCAAACAGGAUUAGAUACCCUGGUAGUCCACACCGUAAACGAUGAGCACUAGGUGUCGGGCUCGCAAGAGUUCGGUGCCGCAGUUAACGCAUUAAGUGCUCCGCCUGGGGAGUACGUACGCAAGUAUGAAACUCAAAGGAAUUGACGGGG